rnacentral:rRNA from 1 species
AUUGAACGCUGGCGGCAUGCCUUACACAUGCAAGUCGAACGGCAGCACGGGUGCUUGCACCUGGCGGCGAGUGGCGAACGGGUGAGUAAUACAUCGGAACGUACCUUAUCGUGGGGGAUAUCGCAGCGAAAGUUGCGCUAAUACCGCAUACGCCCUGAGGGGGAAAGCGGGGGACCGUAAGGCCUCGCGCGAUUAGAGCGGCCGAUGUCUGAUUAGCUUGUUGGUGAGGGAAAAGCUCACCAAGGCGAUGAUCAGUAGCUGGUCUGAGAGGACGAUCAGCCACACUGGGACUGAGACACGGCCCAGACUCCUACGGGAGGCAGCAGUGGGGAAUUUUGGACAAUGGGGGCAACCCUGAUCCAGCAAUGCCGCGUGAGCGAAGAAGGCCUUCGGGUUGUAAAGCUCUUUUGUCAGGGAAGAAACAGCAGCUCUAACACAGUCUGCGAAUGACGGUACCUGAAGAAUAAGCACCUGCUAACCACGUGCCAGCCGCCGCAGUAA